rnacentral:misc_RNA from 1 species
CCGAGUCUUUGAACUGGGUUUGAUGCUGGCCUUCCGAGGCAUGUGCUCGCCCUGCUCUCAUCCACUCACACCUUGUGCACCUUACGUCGAAGAUAAGCGACUGGAAGCUAGGGGGAGACCUCAGCCAAUGGUUGCUUUCUUUGCGUUAACUUUACACAAACCCCUUGAAUGUAUUAGAAUGUCUAUUGGCCUACGGGCUUUUAAUUUAAAGUA